rnacentral:rRNA from 1 species
UUGGAUCGCUACAAAGCUCGUUGGGUGCUUCGUGGAUUUACUCAGCGAGAAGGUAUCGAUUUUGAUGAAACUUUCAGCCCGGUCGUUAAGCCAGCCACUAUUCGAACAGUGCUCUCUCUUGCUCUCUCUAGUGACUGGUCCAUUCAUCAGCUUGACGUCAAGAAUGCGUUCCUCAAUGGCACUCUCAUCGAGACUGUUUAUGCUCGUCAGCCUUCUGGGUUCACUGAUCCUCGUUUCCCUGAUAAGGUUUGUCGUCUCAACAAAUCACUCUAUGGUUUGAAACAGGCGCCUCGAGCAUGGUUUCAGCAGUUUGCUUCGUUCAUUGCAUCGGUUGGUUUCAUUGGCUCCAAGUCCGACAGCUCGUUGUUCGUCUAUCGGCGUGGUGCUGACAUGGCCUAUCUCCUGCUCUAUGUGGAUGACAUUAUCCUGACUGCAUCUUCCUCGACAUUGUUGCACAGUUUGAUUGCCUCUCUUCAUACCGAAUUCAGUAUGACAGAUAUGGGUGAUCUUCAUUAUUUUCUGGGCAUCUCUGUCACACGCAGCAAGGACAGUUUGUUCCUCUCACAGGAGAAGUAUGCAUUGGAUCUUCUUGACAGAGCUGGCAUGUUGCAGUGCAAACCCAUCUCUACUCCC